CACGCGUGCGCUCGGGCUGGAGCUCGCCUUCCUCGACGCCGCCUCAUCCUCCCCCAGGUCGUCGCCACGUCCUUUCCUGCGCUGUCGAGACACACACCCCUCGGCGUCGUUUAGUUUUACCGCUCGUGUGGCCGCAGCCUCCUGCGUGUCGCCGCCGGGUGAGGUCCUAGAGGUGCUCCUCGCGGAGGGCUUCGUCAAGUGCCUCCAGCACCCCAACCUUGGCGGCUUGCUCAUCGAACGAUGGUGCAGGUAGAGGUCGGGCAAAGGUUGAUCCUGCAUGAGCGGCCAUACCGACGGAGGACCAAGGUUGCCUUGUUGUUCGAGCGCGGCAUGGAGAGUGGUGGUGCUCUAGAGAUGGUGUGGUCAAUUUGGCGGAGAAGCUGCUGCCAGUACGAUCUACAUCGCUACUCCUGCUGGCAUCGUCCUGACAUCCACUAGAACGAAACGAUCUCAGAGUGAGAAAAAUCAAGGACUGAAAUAUUUUGGCCAAUGAUGUCGCAGCAUGUAGUGAAGACAGAAGAUAUGUACUACGCUAAUGAUUCUGACUAUAGCCACACUAGUGAUUUUUUUACUUUUCUCUAACUUUGGUAUAACUUGUGAAACCUCCUUUUCCCCGUAGCAGUGUACUAGCUUGAGGGAAUCAUGAAUAUUGUACUAGUACUAGCUUGAGGGAAUCAUGUUGUAUUGUACUGAAAAAUCACUUCACAUGGGAGUCGCAAGAAGCUACCGAAAAGUUACCGUGUUCA